rnacentral:rRNA from 1 species
CACGCAUGACACACUGCAUAUCAAUAAGCGGAGGAAAAGAAACUAACAAGGAUUCCCUUAGUAACGGCGAGUGAAGCGGGAAGAGCUCAAAUUUGAAAUCUUCAAGGUUCUACCUUGACGAAUUGUAGUUUAUAGAAGUGUUUUCUGUUAGUAGAGUGGCAAAAGUUCUUUGGAAUAGGACAUCAUAGAGGGUGAGAAUCCCGUAUUUGGUCAUUCUUUCUAGCUUUGUGAUACACUUUCAACGAGUCGGAUUGUUUGGGAAUGCAGUCCAAAAUGGGUGGUAAAUUUCAUCUAAAGCUAAAUAUUGGCGAGAGACCGAUAGCGAACAAGUACCGUGAGGGAAAGAUGAAAAGAACUUUGAAAAGAGAGUUAAACAGUACGUGAAAUUGUCAAAAGGGAAGCGUUUGACACCAGUGUUGUUUUUCCGAAAAUCAAUUACGAAUGUUUUAUUUUUGAGGAGUUAUGACUUCAUCGGCUUGCUUCUCUCUUUAUGAAACUUUCUUAAUGCACUUUUCGGUUAACAAGUCAACAUCAAUUUCUUUUGUUGUAAAAGGGUAUGAGGAAGGUGGCUUUCUUUUCGGAGAAAGUGUUUAUAGCCUUGUACCUCUGCAAUCGGAGAGAUUGAGGUCUGCAGCGUAGAUCCUUCGGGGUUAGAUACAUUUGUGCUAAGUUAUAGCUUUUCAUAGACAACUUGUUGACUAUGUUAAGUCUUGUAGCUUACUCGCUGACGCUAUUUUACCUACGCUUAGGAUGUUGAUCUACAGAGCGAGAGU